AUUGAACGCUGGCGGCAGGCCUAACACAUGCAAGUCGAACGGUAACAGGAAGCAGCUUGCUGCUUCGCUGACGAGUGGCGGACGGGUGAGUAAUGUCUGGGAAGCUGCCUGAUGGAGGGGGAUAACUACUGGAAACGGUAGCUAAUACCGCAUAAUGUCGCAAGACCAAAGAGGGGGACCUUCGGGCCUCUUGCCAUCGGAUGUGCCCAGAUGGGAUUAGCUUGUUGGUGGGGUAACGGCUCACCAAGUCGACGAUCCCUAGCUGGUCUGAGAGGAUGACCAGCCACACUGGAACUGAGACACGGUCCAGACUCCUACGGGAGGCAGCAGUGGGGAAUAUUGCACAAUGGGCGCAAGCAUGAUGCAGCCAUGCCGCGUGUAUGAAGAAGGCCUUCGGGUUGUAAAGUACGUUCAGCGGGGAGGAAGGGAGUAAAGUUAAUACCUUUGCUCAUUGACGUUACCCGCAGAAGAAGCACCGGCUAACUCCGUG
rnacentral:rRNA from 1 species